GGAGGUGAAGGGCCACAGCUCAGUGGCAGAACAUCUGCUUUGCAUGCAGAAGGUCCCAAGUUCGAAUCCCGGCAUCUCCA